rnacentral:lncRNA from 1 species
GCGGCGCCGGACCCGGCUGCGCGCGGACCGUUAGCUACUGCGGCCGGGACGCGGCCCCGCCCAGGCGAGCGGCGGGUGGCUCUUACCAGCGGGAACGCCAUGGGGCCGGUGUGGCCCUGCGGGGCUGACGGGCUGACCGGCCAGCCGGCGGGCGAGAGACGCGCACGCACGUGGGCACUAUUUUUGCAGCGGGCCGCGCGCAGCCCCGCACCCCGGCAGCUUAUGAAGCUCCUACGAGCCGCUCCUCGGAGCCGCCCCCCGGCCGGAUGCGGAGCACCUGUGUCGGCCCCGCCCGGGCCCUCGCCUCCGCCCCCUCGCGCCCCGCCCCUCCUAGCAGGCCGAGCCGAGGAGGGCUCCGCCGCCCACCCGGAACCCGGCGGGGACUGCCGCCGCUGCUAGCCACAGCUGCCCCCUGGGGGGCCAGAGACCUAAGCCUGAGCGCGCCAUCACCUAAGUGACCCUUGCCGAGUCACUGUCUGCCCUGGGCCUCAGUUUCCCUCUUAACGAAAGAGGGCACGAUUUACAAGCCCCUGCGAGCGGCGGCGAUCGCUUCGUCAGUAGAGCCUCGUGUCCGCGCUCCUUCUCUUCCAGUGAUCUCUCCAGGGCGAGAGCCUGCCCUGGCAUCCUUGGUCGGAACUGUAGCCCCUGGGCUCCAGGAGGCGCACUCACUUUAGACCCUCUGCUCCGUGCGCUGCAGAGGGGGCCGCGAGAGUCAGGAAGUUCCAGAAAGUUCCAAAGACAUCACUGGUCCUCUUUGGACCGGAGUUCUCCGGAGAAACCGCUUCCGGCGCUCCUGACACACUGAGAUAGAAAGUUUCACAGAAAUAGGGCAAGGGAUAGGGCGAGGGCUCCAGGGCAGGCGUCCUAGGGCACCUGGCGCAGGGGCGGACCGGAAACCCCAGGCAAACGCAGAGUCGGAGAUGGCAUUCCAGGCGGAAGAUCAAGCAAAGGCAGAGAGGGAGGACGGCACCGAGCGGCUCCCUCUGACCAGGACUGAGGAUGAUGCGACCUGAUACCGCCGGAGGGAAGCCUGGGCCCGCUGAGCAAGAUAAGAACCUGAAACCCAGAAUAGUGCCCAAGGGAGCGGGUGUCUGGAGGCCCUGUCAUAUUUCAAAACUGUCAACCAUAAGAAAAUGAAGGCAUCUUUCAAGAGACUUGGAACAGAAACUUCUGCUGCCUAAAAUCUCUCUCCCUAAACUUUCUGUUGCAGAUGAGACUGAAGCUCAAAGAAGUUAAGUAACUUGCCAAAAGACUCCCAGCUAAAAGUGUGAGAGCAAAGACUCAAACCAAGGCAGUCUUCUGGUUUCAGAGCCUGAAGUCUUAACCAGGUGAGAAUAAAACUUCCAGCAUGCUUAUGUGUGUGCUUAUCUGUGAAUGACCCCAGAGCUGACUGCAGAUGUUGAGAGAAGAGGUAACUUUGACCAAAUGCAGUCAUGACCUCAGGUGUGGGCAAGUCCUUGUUCCCUACCUGGACUUGGCUAGGCCUGCAGGUCAUACAGGAAGAACAGUCCCUCUGAAGGUGACCAUAAUCCACAGGGCAGGGUGUGGAAAGUGACAGAGGUGAAUUUAUUAAAUGACUUGGUCAAGUCCCCACAGCUGGUCACUGGCAGAAGCAGCAGAAACAAAUAGGCAGCAUUAUCUAUUCUCCCAGUCAACAAACAGCCUUUGAGCCCAGCUAUGCCUGGCACUGUCUCUGCAGUCAAGCCCCAGACUUACAAUACUGAUUUUAAGUCCAACUAUAUAAUUAGCUGGACUACAUUUUAAAUAUGUGUACUAGGGAAACAGGAGGGACCCUAUAGUCUUUUAUAUGCUCAAGUGUUCAGUGCUUCUGCAGGAGGCAGAGAGCUAAAAGAAGAGAGAAGUUUGAUGGGAGAAAAUAAUUUCCUGGUUGCAAAAGAUAAGAAAAGGAAUUCACUCAGGAACUCAAGACCACAAGGUAGACACACACAGUCUCUGCUCAAGUUUUGCCAAGCUCUGUACAGAAGAAACCAUGUUCUUUGUUUUUUCAAGUUCCUUUUAAGUGGGAUAAAAAAGUGGAUUGGGGCCAGGCGCGGUGGCUCAUGCCUGUAAUCCCAGCACUUUGGGAGGCCUAGGCAGGCAGAUCAUGAGGUCAGGAGAUCGAGACCAUCCUGGCUAACAUGGUGAAACCCCGUCUCUACUAAAAAUACACACAAAAAAUUAGCUGGGCAUGGUGGUGGGCGCCUGUGGUCCCAGCUACUUGGGAGGCUGAGGCAGGAGAAUGGCAUGAACCCAGGAGGCGGAGCUUGCAGUGAUCCGAGAUCUCACCACUGCACUACAUCCUGGGUGACAGAGCGAGACUCCAUCUCAAAAAAAAAAAAAAAAGAAAGAGUGGAUUGGCCCCACCUUUCAUCGUACACAAAAGUAAGUUAAAAAUACAAUUCUGAAAAGCUUUACUUAGAAUUUUUUCAGAAGAAAAUAUAGGAGAAUUUUUUUUUACCUCAGCCCGUGGAUGAAUUUUGUAAACUUGGAAAAAUAAGAUUGGAACAAUAAGCACAGGAUAUAAAGGAAGACAAUACAUUUGACCACACUGGAAUUAAAAACUUUGGUUUACUAAAAGAGUUUGUUUGUUUGUUUUGAGGUGGAGUCUUGCUCUGUCGCCCAGGCUGGAGUGCAGUGGCACGAUCUCGGCUCACUGCAAUCUCAGCCUCCCGGGUUCAAGCAAUUCUUCUGCCUCAGCCUCCAGAGUAGCUGGGAUUACAGACACCUGCCACCGCACCCGGCUAAUUUUUGUAUUUUUAGUGGAGACGGGGUUUCACCAUGUUGCCCAGGCUGGUCUCGAACUCCUGACCUCGUGAUCCGCCCGCCUCGGCCUCCCAAAGUGUUGGGAUUAGGCGUGAGCCACCGCCCAGCUAAAGAUAUUGUUUAAAGCUUGAAAAGACAAGCCAUAGACUGGAAGAAGGUAUCUCCAAUCCAUGUAUUUACAAAGAACUAGUUUCCAGACUAUGUAAGAAGUUCUGUAAUCAAUGAGGAAAAAACACAACUCCACAGAAAAAUGGGCAAAAGAUGAGAAUGGGCAGUUGACACAAGUGAAAAUCCAAAUGGCCAAGAAACAUCAGUAGAUGCCCACCCUCAUCAGUAACCAGGGAAAUGCAAAUGAAACCACAAUCAGAUGCCGUGCCACACUUUUCAAAUGGAAAAAAAUGAUCAACUUUCACUGUCCCAGUAGCAGGAUCACUGCUAGUGAGGGCGUAAACUGAUUCAGCUACUUUGGUGUGUGCUUUUAUGUUUCAUAUCUUUUAAUGGAGAGAAGGCAAUGCAUAGAGUGCACAAAUCUUUUUUAUUUAUUUAUUUAUUUAUUUAUUUAUUUUGAGAUGGAGUCUCGCUCUGUCGCCCAGGCUGGAGUGCAGUGGCGAGAUCUCGGCUCAUUGAAAGCUCUGCCUCCUGGGUUCAUGCCAUUCUCCUGCCUCAGCCUCCUGAGUAGCUGGGACUACAGGCGCCCGCCACCACGCCCGGCUAAUUUUUUGUAUUUUUAGUAGAGACGGGGUUUCACCCUGUUAGCCAGGAUGGUCUGGAUCUCUUGACCUUGUGAUCCACCUGUCUUGGCCUCCCAAAGUGCUGGGAUUACAGGCGUGAGCCACCACGCCCGGCCACAGUACACAAAUCUUAAGUGUAUACCGAGGUAACCACCACCCGCAUGGAGGCAUAGAAUCUCUCCAGAACCCCCACUGGGUUCCUUCCUGCCCCUUCCCACUUUAUACCUCCCUCCUCAAGGUACCGUUACCUUACUGCUUUUCAUUACAGAUUCAUUUAACCUGUUCUAGACUUCAUAUAAUUUUUGGUUUCUUUCAUUCAACAUACCUGUUAGAUCCAUCCAUGUUGUUGGCAUGUAGGAGUAGUUUGUUCCUUUGUAUUGCUAAGUAGUAUUCCAUUGUGUAGAUACACCAUAAUUUAUUUCUGCAUUCUCCUAUUGAUUGGAAUUUGAAUUCUUUCCACUUCGGGGACUAUUAUGAAUAAAGCUGCUAGAAAUAUUAUUGAUGUGAAGUAUAGCAACUCUGGUGAGCAAUUUGGAUUCUCUAGUUAACUUGAAAAAGUGUAUACUCUAUGACCCAGCAAUUCCAUUCCUAGGAAAAUAUGUUAGAGAAACUUUCAUACGUGUUAAGAAACAUGAGUAAAAAUGUCUGUAGCUGUUUUGUUAAUAGUUACAAAAACAAAACAAAAUAAAAUAAUCUUAAAUGCCCACCAA